rnacentral:rRNA from 1 species
CAAUAGCGUAUAUUAAAGUUGUUGCAGUUAAAAAGCUCGUAGUUGGAUCUGUGGUGUGCGGUGGGCUCCGGGCACUUGUUGUCUGAGUAGCUCGCCGCUGCCAUCCUUGGGUGGAACCUGUGUGGCAUUAGGUUGUCGUGCAGGGGAUGCCCAUCGUUUACUGUGAAAAAAUUAGAGUGUUCAAAGCAGGCUUAUGCCGUUGAAUAUAUUAGCAUGGAAUAAUGAGAUAGGACUUUUUCGCUAUUUUGUUGGUUUGCGCGAAGAGGUAAUGACUAAUAGGGACAGUUGGGGGUAUUCGUAUUCCAUUGUCAGAGGUGAAAUUCUUGGAUUUUUGGAAGACGAACUACUGCGAAAGCAUUUACCAAGGAUGUUUUCAUUAA